GAUCAUGGCUCAGGAUGAACGCUAGCUACAGGCUUAACACAUGCAAGUCGGAGGGGCAGCAUGAACUUAGCUUGCUAAGUUUGAUGGCGACCGGCGCACGGGUGAGUAACACGUAUCCAACCUGCCGAUGACUCGGGGAUAGCCUUUCGAAAGAAAGAUUAAUACCCAAUGAUAUCUCUAGAAGACAUCUGAAAGAGAUUAAAGAAUUCAUCGGUGAUGGAUGGGGA
rnacentral:rRNA from 1 species